CAUUGCCUAUGUAUUCGCUUUAUAAACUAUUAAAACAAACGACUUACCCUAAAAACACAACUGCGAUGCAUCUCUAUCAAUGAGCUAUUGCAAUCGGCGAAGAUUUCGUCAACUUUUAGAGACAAAUAGCGAUUCGUCAUGAGUUCUUCUACCAAACUAUCCAAACAACUGAUGUGAAUCUCACGGCAUUUCAACUGAACGCACGAUAACCCAUCUAGAACCAAUAGCAUAGGCUGUGACGAUACACAAUGAACAAAAAGAAGGUUGUGUCCUUCCAAAACUGAAGCUUUAUGACCGAGAAUCGGCUUCAUAAAAUCCGCCAUAUUUCUCACUCUUGUUGAUUUGGUGGAGAAUAAUGAGCGCCCUCGUGGAAAAAUC